GACGAACGCUGGCGGCGUGCUUAACACAUGCAAGUCGAACGAGAAUCACGGGAAGGAGUUUUCGGACAACAGAACGUGAGGAAAGUGGCGGACGGGUGAGUAACGCGUGAGGAACCUGCCUUGGAGAGGGGGACAACAGCCGGAAACAGCUGCUAAUACCGCAUAAAGCGUGAGGGGGACAUCCCCCACACGCCAAAGAUUUAUCGCUCUGAGAUGGCCUCGCGUCUGAUUAGCUUGUUGGUGAGGUAACGGCCCACCAAGGCGACGAUCAGUAGCCGGACUGAGAGGUUGAACGGCCACAUUGGGACUGAGAUACGGCCCAGACUCC
rnacentral:rRNA from 1 species